rnacentral:rRNA from 1 species
UACAGAGGUCUCAAGCGUUGUUCGGAUUCAUUGGGCGUAAAGGGUGCGUAGGUGGUUUGGUAAGUUGAAGGUGAAAUCUCGGAGCUUAACUCCGAAACUGCCUUCAAUACUGCCGGACUUGAGGACUGUAGAGGAGAAUGGAAUUCACGGUGUAGCAGUGAAAUGCGUAGAUAUCGUGAGGAAGACCAGUGGCGAAGGCGAUUCUCUGAGCAGUUCCUGACACUGAGGCACGAAGGCUAGGGGAGCAAACGGG